rnacentral:miRNA from 1 species
UGGUAGACGUAGGAUUUGAAGA